rnacentral:rRNA from 1 species
AUAUCAGUCAGCGGAGGAAAAGAAAGCAACUGCGAUUACCCUAGUAACGGCGAGUGAAGCGGUAAUAGCCCAGAUUUGAAAUCGAGGCACUUUUAUGUCUCGAGUUGUAAUCUGCAGAGGAAGCGUCUAGCGCGACGCCGGCCUAGUACCCUGGAAUGGGUCGCCAUAGAGGGUGACAGCCCCGUGCGGUUGGCCGUCGUGCUAAUGUGUCGCUCCUUCGAGGAGUCGCGUAGUUUGGGAAUUCUGCGCAAAAUGGGAGGUAAAUUCCUUCUAAAGCUAAAUAUUGGCCAGAGACCGAUAGCGCACAAGUAGAGUGAUCGAAAGAUGAAAAGCACUUUGAAAAGAGGGUUAAACAGCACGUGAAAUUGUUGAAAGGGAAGCGCUCAUGACCAGACUUGCGCUGGGCUGAUCAUCCGGUGUUCUCACCGGUGCACUCUGCCCGGCACAGGCCAGCAUCGGUUUUGGCGGGGGGAUAAAGGCGCUGGGAACGUAGCUCCCCCGGGAGUGUUAUAGCCCAGCGUGCAAUACCCCCGCUGGGACCGAGGUCCGCGCAUUCGCAAGGAUGCUGGCGUAAUGGUCAUCAGCGA